rnacentral:snRNA from 1 species
ACCACCGAGCGGCGGGUAGAA